rnacentral:lncRNA from 1 species
AGACAGAGGGAAGGAGAGAGAGACAGAAGAGAAGAAGAGAGAGACAGAGGGAAGGAGAGAGAGACAGAUCAGAUCAGACCUAUGCCACUCCUGCCCACCCCAUGCACCCCACCCCCGCAAAGAGGGCCUCAACAUGGAAGCCACACAUACGCCCAGGUAGUGAGCGGGCAAACAGUCCCAACCCCCACUCUCACACUCGCCCAAGCCAAUGGCAUGUACCAGAUGCUCAGCAGGCUCUGCUCACACUUACUGGCCUGAGGCUAAACCACGACCAACAACAUUGGACACUCUAUGGAACAAAAAGCCUUCACUAUAUUAUCCUGGAAUAUCCAAGGCCUGAGGUCAUCUGCCUUUGGCCUAAAGAGCAGAAACCCGGACUUCACCAAAGAAAUCGGUAAUACAGACAUUGUCAUCCUGCAAGAAACCUGGUAUAGAGGAGAUGGACCCACUGGUUGCCCUCUAGGUUACAGAGAGCUGGUAGUCCCAUCCACCAAACUACCAGGUGUGAAACAGGGAAGGGACUCAGGGGGUAUGCUAAUUUGGUAUAGAGCAGACCUAACUCACUCCAUUAAAUUAAUCAAAACAGGAACAUUCUACAUUUGGCUAGAAAUUCAAAAAGAAAUUAUCCUAACAGAGAAAAAUGUCCUCCUGUGUGCUACCUAUAUCCCCCCACUAGAAUCCCCAUAUUUUAAUGAAGACAGCUUCUCCAACCUCGAGGGGGAAAUCAAUCACUUCCAGGCCCAGGGACAUGUACUAGUCUGUGGUGACCUAAAUGCCAGAACCGGACAAGAACCUGACACCCUCAGCACACAGGGGGACAAACACCUGCCUGGAGCUGACAGCAUUCCCUCCCCCAUAUGCCCCCCUAGGCACAACUAUGACAACAUAACCAACAAAAACGGGUCACAACUCCUGCAGCUCUGUCGCACGCUGGGUAUGUACAUAGUCAACGGUAGGCUUCGAGGGGACUCCUAUGGUAGGUACACCUAUAGCUCAUCUCUUGGCAGUAGUACUGUAGACUACUUUAUCACUGACCUCAACCCAGAGUCUCUCAGAGCGUUCACAGUCAGCCCACUGACACCCCUAUCAGACCACAGCAAAAUCACAGUCUACUUAAACAGAGCAAUACUCAAUCAUGAGGCAUCAAAGCCAAAGGAACUGAGUAACAUUAAGAAAUGCUAUAGAUGGAAGGAAUGCAGUUUGGAAACCUACCAAAAAACUAUUAGGCAACAACAAAUUCAAUCCCUCUUAGACAAUUUCCUGGGUAAAACGUUCCACUGUAAUAGUGAAGGUGUAAACUUGGCAGUAGAAAAUCUUAACAGUAUAUUUGACCUCUCAGCUUCCCUAUCAAAUCUAAAAAUCUCAAAUAGAAAACCGAAGAAAAUUAACAAUAAUGACAAAUGGUUUGAUGAAGAAUGCAAAAAUCUAAGAAAGAAAUUGAGAAACCUGUCCAACCAAAAACAUAGAGACCCGGAAAACCUGAGUCUACGCCUUCACUAUGGUGAAUCACAAAAACAAUACAGAAAUACACUACGGAAAAAGAAGGAACAGCAUGUCAGAAAUCAGCUCAAUGCAAUUGAAGAAUCCAUAGACUCUAACCACUUCUGGGAAAAUUGGAAAACACUAAACAAACAACAACACGAAGAAUUAUCUAUCCAAAAUGGAGAUGUAUGGGUAAACCACUUCUCCAAUCUUUUUGGCUCUAUAACAAAGAAUAAAGAGCAAAAACAUAUACAUGAUCAAAUACAGAUCUUAGAAUCAACUAUUAAAGACUACCAGAACCCACUGGAUUCUCCAAUUACAUUGAAAGAGUUACAGGACAAAAUAAAAACCCUCCAACCCAAAAGGCCUGUGGUGUUGAUGGUAUCCUCAAUGAAAUGAUCAAAUAUACAGACAACAAAUUCCAAUUGGCUAUACUAAAACUCUUUAACAUCAUACUUAGCUCUGGCAUCUUCCCCAAUAUUUGGAACCAAGGACUG